AUUCAACUCAAGAAGUGGGAAAUCUGUCACCACACCUUCUGCUAACACAGAGAGAGCUCUGAGGCUUGAAUUACACCCUCUGUCCUGAAAGCCAGGCUUAAGUGUCCUGCAGGAAGCUGACCUGGACUACCCCAUGGGCACUGUACAGGAGGAUGUCUCACAAGGCAACCAUAUGCUGAAGCUGAUGUAGAGGCUUGUGAGACAGGCUUCUCACCAAGGACAGCGGCAGAUAUCUUGACUGAUGUCUAACGUCCUGACCUUGCAUGAGAGAAGAAUGGGAUAUUCAAAUGUGCUUAAGAAAGUGAGGAAACACUACCAGCAAACUCUAUUAUCUAAACACACAUGGUGGAUAGCCAAAGGAUCUGAGGUGUGACUCUUCAUGUUGGCACACCUGAGCAGUGAGCAGAGUGCCCAGAUGCUCUGACAUCCACUGUGCAGAAUAGAGAGUGCAAAGAUGACAGAAAAUGAACUCCGGUUUUAUUAGCAUCAUCAAAACGAAGAUACUGGGUGUCUCUCUGUUAAAACAACACCAAAGUUGAAGAGAAAACACUGAGAGAAAAACACACAGCCCCUCAAUUUCAGCAGCAUCUUACUGAAACACCAAGUUGGAGAACAGAAUGAGGGCUGAAUACAGACAGAAUACACAUCAAAGAGUGCAACAUGUUCUGGGAAUGACUUAAAUACAACC